GAACGCGGUAUGCGGUGAAAGCUGCACGUACCGUGUGGUGUGGGGGAAAAAUUGGCGAUAAUUUCAAAAAUUUACCUAUCACAAU
rfam:Globicatella sp. HMSC072A10 Globicatella_spHMPREF2811-1.0_Cont282.2, whole genome shotgun sequence.